UGAAGUGGCCGUUUAAGCUUGGCGAGCCUAUGGUCCCUCCUGAAAUGGAGAGCAAGCUACAGACGAAGAUGCGCCGAUUCCAUGAGUGGUACUUGGAAGAAUCAAGAAGGAAUAAAGCGCGCAUGAUCAAAGUAGGCGUGAAGGACCAGGAUUUCUACAAUGGCGACGUGGAUUCGGUCUGGCUGAGGUUUCAGGAUAUAUAUGAGCUGUACCACCGCGA
rnacentral:misc_RNA from 1 species